rnacentral:rRNA from 1 species
UCUUGGUCAUUUAGAGGAAGUAAAAGUCGUAACAAGGUUUCCGUAGGUGAACCUGCGGAAGGAUCAUUAAUGAAUGAAUGUAGAGUUAGUUGUAGCUGGCCUCCCUGAGGCAUGUGCACGCUUUCUCUUUCAUCCACACACCCCUGUGCACUUGUGAGACGGAGGCAUUUUCCUUUAAUCGGGAUGGUCUCCGUCUACUAUCACAUAAAAUCUAAUUUANUUAAAACUGAAUGUAAUUGAUGUAACGCAUCUAAUACAAAGUUUCAACAACGGAUCUCUUGGCUCUCGCAUCGAUGAAGAACGCAGCGAAAUGCGAUAAGUAAUGUGAAUUGCAGAAUUCAGUGAAUCAUCGAAUCUUUGAACGCACCUUGCGCUCCUUGGUAUUCCUUGGAGCAUGCCUGUUUGAGUAUCAUGAAAUUCUCAAAGCAAGUCUUUUGUUAAUUCAGAUCGGCUCUGCUUUGGAUUUGGGGGUCUGCAGAUUCACGUCUGCUCCUCUUAAAUGCAUUAGCUGGAUCUCCAUGAACUUGGUUCCACUCGGCGUGAUAAGUAUCACUCGCUGAGGACACCCGUAAAAAGGUGGCCAGGCUCGAGGAUGAGCCGCUUCUAAUAGUCCAUUAGCUUGGACAAUUUAUUUAUGAUCUGAUCUCAAAUCAGGUAGGACUACCCGCUGAACUUAAGCAUAUCAAUAAGCCGGAGGA